AUCUACACUGUGAGAAUCAGUGUCAACUUUGUGGGGCUUAUAUUUAGAGCGCACAUAUGAAAGUGCUUUUUAUCAAUAGAAGGUGAAAUGAUUGCAAGCAUUAGCCGGAAAUUCUUUUAAAGUAACGCAUAUGCUAAUAUUAGUGCAGAGAAAUCAAAG
rnacentral:ribozyme from 1 species